rnacentral:rRNA from 1 species
UACGAAGGGGGCUAGCGUUGCUCGGAAUCACUGGGCGUAAAGCGCACGUAGGCGGAUUGUUAAGUCGGGGGUGAAAUCCUGGAGCUCAACUCCAGAACUGCCUUCGAUACUGGCGAUCUUGAGUCCGGGAGAGGUGAGUGGAACUCCGAGUGUAGAGGUGAAAUUCGUAGAUAUUCGGAAGAACACCAGUGGCGAAGGCGGCCUCACUGGCCCGGUACUGACGCUGAGGUGCGAAAGCGUGGGGAGCAAACAGG